AUGGCCGGGCAGAUGCUCCGCCGGUGGAACAGCUUCUACGGCGCCUUCGACCCAGUGGACGCCGCCAUCGAGGCCGCCGACCCGGACCAAUUCUCACGCCACGUGUUCCGGCGCGCGAGGGGAGACCUGGUGGGACGGCUCUGCAGCGCCGCCGACGAUGCCCAGGCGGAGCGUAUCUGCGGGAUUCUCGACGACAUGAUGGCGGAGUCUCUCGAGACGCUGAGGCUGGUCCCAUCAACGCCGGGGGUGCCCAUCUCCACGGAGCUCGCCGACUCCGUGCGCGCGCUGCGAGAGCACGACUCGGAGCGCGUCCGCCUCCUCGCGCGCGGCAUCGUGAUCGGGUGGGAGGCCUCCGUCCAGGACGACGGCGACGGCGCCAAGGUCAUCACAGGAGCCAUGGCGCCGAUGAAGAAGCUGCCGCAGCCCAAGGCGAGCGUCGGCCAGGCCGACCCUGACGCGAAGACGAAACGACCUCCCAAGAUCGUCGGCGAGCCCUUGUCCAAGAAGACGGCUGAAAUCAUCAAAAAGGCGUCCGAUCCUGCCGCCUGCUUCGUCGACGGUGACCGUGCCGGGUUCUGCUCGGAGGACAAGAUGGAAGCCGCGAAGCGCAAGCUCCGCCAAGGUUACCAGGAGGCAGAGGACGCCAAACGGCGGCGCAGGACGCAGUUGGUGCAGGCGGCGCCCGAGAUGAUGCAGCCAAUCAGGAGGUGCAGCAGCUCCAUGGUGAAGAAAACCUUGUCGAUCAGGACGCAGCUUCACAUGGCUUAA
rnacentral:rRNA from 1 species